rnacentral:rRNA from 1 species
GAUGAACGCUGGCGGCGUGCCUAACACAUGCAAGUCGAACGAAGCACCUUACCUGAUUCUUCGGAUGAAAGUUUGGUGACUGAGUGGCGGACGGGUGAGUAACGCGUGGGUAACCUGCCCUGUACAGGGGGAUAACAGCUGGAAACGGCUGCUAAUACCGCAUAAGCGCACGAGGAGACAUCUCCUUGUGUGAAAAACUCCGGUGGUACAGGAUGGGCCCGCGUCUGAUUAGCUGGUUGGCAGGGUAACGGCCUACCAAGGCAACGAUCAGUAGCCGGUCUGAGAGGAUGAACGGCCACAUUGGAACUGAGACACGGUCCAAACUCCUACGGGAGGCAGCAGUGGGGAAUAUUGCAAAAUGGGGGAAACCAUGAUGCAGCAACGCCGCGUGAGUGAAGAAGUAGUUCGGUAUGUAAAGCUCUAUCAGCAGGGAAGAUAAUGACGGUACCUGACGAAGAAGCACCGGCUAAAUACGUG